rnacentral:rRNA from 1 species
CGAACGGGUGAGUAACACGUGAGUAACCUGCCCACAACUUUGGGAUAACGCUAGGAAACUGGUGCUAAUACUGGAUAUGUGCUCCUGCUGCAUGGUGGGGGUUGGAAAGCUCCGGCGGUUGUGGAUGGACUCGCGGCCUAUCAGCUUGUUGGUGGGGUAGUGGCCUACCAAGGCGGCGACGGGUAGCCGGCCUGAGAGGGUGACCGACCACAUUGGGACUGAGAUACGGCCCAG